CCCUGUCGUCCGAGGCGACCACUGUCUCCCCUUUCCUCUCCACCCGCCCGUAUCCGCGCCGCCGCCAUUGCCGCAAGCACCGGCGCGCAUCUCCUCUGUGUAGAUUUUCAGAUCACUGUUCAUUCCCCGAGAUCCUGAGGUGUUCUCGAGCUCUCUCGCCAUGUCACCGUGGGUCGGGUUCAAAGGAUAUGAUGCCGAUCCAGAUCCGUCUCUGCAAAGUGAUGAUCCCGCCGGAGAUUCUGAGUUUGGAAACGAGAGCUACGCCGACCCCGACGCGUUCUUAGGCUGCUUCGGGAGAUACGGGAUCCGUGCUUCGCCGGGACGGAAUUGAACACGCAGCAAAAGUGCCGUCAUGGCGUUGUCCCACAGAGGAAGGUAGCAUUCGACAUUGCUGGGACAUGGAGAAGAUUCCUUGGAUGCACUCGGCAGGGGGUGGAUCGUUGUUCGUUGGUCGUAUGGAUCGAUGAACCUUGGAAUCUUGUUUUGACUAAGUCUUUAAUUCACUUGUGGAGCUUGGUUGCGUUAAACUCCAGAGAAGAACUUCCGUCAGCUGGCUGAACUCUUGGUUGAAAAAGGGUAAAUGU